UCCACGCCGUAAACGAUGAUCACUAGUUGUUGGCGAUAAAAUGUCAGUGACUGAGCGAAAGCAUUAAGUGAUCCACCUGGGGAGUACGUUCGCAAGAAUGAAACUCAAAGGAAUUGACGGGGGCCCGCACAAGCGGAGGAACAUGUGGUUUAAUUCGAUGAUACGCGAGGAACCUUACCCGGGCUUAAAUGCAGACUGACAGGUUGGGAAACCGACUUUUCUUCGGACAGUCU
rnacentral:rRNA from 1 species